GACGAACGCUGGCGGCGUGCUUAACACAUGCAAGUCGAGCGGAAAGGCCACUUCGGUGGUACUCGAGCGGCGAACGGGUGAGUAACACGUGAGUAAUCUGCCCCUGGCUUUGGGAUAGCCACCGGAAACGGUGAUUAAUACCGGAUAUGACCACUUCUCGCAUGGGUUGUGGUGGAAAGUUUUUCGGCCAGGGAUGUGCUCGCGGCCUAUCAGCUUGAUGGUGAGGUAAUGGCUCACCAUGGCUUCGACGGGUAGCCGGCCGGAGAGGGUGACCGGUCACACUGGGACUGAGACACGGCCCAGACUCCUACGGGAGGCAGCAGUGGGGAAUAUUGGACAAUGGGCGGAAGCCUGAUCCAGCAACGCCGCGUGAGGGAUGACGGCCUUCGGGUUGUAAACCUCUUUCAGUACCGACGAAGCGCAAGUGACGGUAGGUACAGAAGAAGCACCGGCCAACUACGUGCCAGCCGCCGCCGUAAGAC
rnacentral:rRNA from 1 species